rnacentral:rRNA from 1 species
AGAAUUUAGCAGAGAUGCUUUAGUGCCUUCGGGAACUCUGAGACAGGUGCUGCAUGGCUGUCGUCAGCUCGUGUUGUGAAAUGUUGGGUUAAGUCCCGCAACGAGCGCAACCCUUAUCCUUUGUUGCCAGCGGGUCAUGCCGGGAACUCAAAGGAGACUGCCAGUGAUAAACUGGAGGAAGGUGGGGAUGACGUCAAGUCAUCAUGGCCCUUACGAGUAGGGCUACGCACGUGCUACAAUGGCGCAUACAAAGAGAAGCGACCUCGCGAGAGCAAGCGGACCUCAUAAAGUGCGUCGUAGUCCGGAUUGGAGUCUGCAACUCGACUCCAUGAAGUCGGAAUCGCUAGUAAUCGUAGAUCAGAAUGCUACGGUGAAUACGUUCCCGGGCCUUGUACACACCGCCCGUCACACCAUGGGAGUGGGUUGCAAAAGAAGUAGGUAGCUUAACCUUCGGGAGGGCGCUUACCACUUUGUGAUUCAUGACUGGGGUGAAGUCGUAACAAGGUAAGCGUACGUGU